rnacentral:rRNA from 1 species
AAUACUCGCAGUCUGGAGUGGCGUAAGGGUGCGUAACACGUGGGUAAUUUGCCUGGAAGCCCGGGAUAACUCCGAGAAAUCGGAGCUAAUACCGGAUGUGAUCAGGGGCUGGCAUCAGCUCCUGCUCAAAGUCGGGGACCGCAAGGCCUGACACUACCAGAUAAGCCCGCGGCCUAUCAGCUAGUUGGCGGGGUAACGGCCACCAAGGCUAAGACGGGUAGCUGGUCUGAGAGGACGACCAGCCACACUGGAACUGAGACACGGUCCAGACACCUACGGGUGGCAGCAGUCGAGAAUUUUUCACAAUGGGGGAAACCCUGAUGGAGCGACGCCGCGUGGGGGAUGAAUGGCUUCGGCCCGUAAACCCCUGUCAUUUGCGAACAAACCUGGUGGCUGAACAAGCUGCCAGCUGAUAGUAGCAGAAGAGGAAGGGACGGCUAACUCUGUGCCAGCAGCCGCGGUAAUACAGAGGUCCCAAGCGUUGUUCGGAUUCACUGGGCGUAAAGGGUGCGUAGGCGG